rnacentral:rRNA from 1 species
UACGGAGGGGGCUAGCGUUGUUCGGAAUUACUGGGCGUAAAGCGCGCGUAGGCGGACCUGCAAGUCGGGGGUGAAAGCCCGAGGCUCAACCUCGGAACUGCCUUCGAUACUGCGGGUCUCGAGUCCGGGAGAGGUGAGUGGAAUGCCUAGUGUAGAGGUGAAAUUCGUAGAUAUUAGGAAGAACACCAGUGGCGAAGGCGGCUCACUGGCCCGGUACUGACGCUGAGGCGCGAAAGCGUGGGGAGCAAACAGG